rnacentral:rRNA from 1 species
GACGAACGCUGGCGGCGUGCCUAACACAUGCAAGUCGAACGGAGUGAAGCCCUUCGGGACUUUACUUAGUGGCGAACGGGUGAGUAACGCGUGAGGAACCUGCCUUUCAGUGGGGGACAACAGUUGGAAACGACUGCUAAUACCGCAUGAUACUUUUUGGAGGCAUCUCUGGAAAGUCAAAGAUUUAUUGCUGAAAGAUGGUCUCGCGUCUGAUUAGCUAGUUGGCGGGGUAACGGCCCACCAAGGCGACGAUCAGUAGCCGGUCUGAGAGGAUGAACGGCCACAUUGGGACUGAGAUACGGCCCAGACUCCUACGGGAGGCAGCAGUGGGGAAUAUUGGGCAAUGGGCGAAAGCCUGACCCAGCAACGCCGCGUGAAGGAAGAAGGCCUUCGGGUUGUAAACGUUCUUUAGUCAGGGACGAAGGACGUGACGGUACCUGCAGAAAAGACAGACGGCUAACUACGUAG